GAUGAACGCUGGCGGCGUGCUUAAUACAUGCAAGUCGAGCGAACAGACGAGGAGCUUGCUCCUUUGACGUUAGCGGAGGACGGGUGAGUAACACGUGGAUAAUCUACCUAUAAGACUGGGAUAACUUCGGGAAGCCGGAGAUAAUACCGGAUAAUAUAUUGAACCGCAUGGUUCAAUGGUGAAAGACGGUUUUGCUGUAACUUAUAGCUGGAUCCGCGCCGCAUUAGCUAGUUGGUAAGGUAACGGCUUACCAAGGCAACGAUGCGUAUCCGAACUGAGAGACUGAUCGGCCACACUAGAACUGAGACACGCACCAGGCUCCUACGGGAGGCAGCAGUAUGGAAUCGUCCGCAAUGGGCGAGAGCCUUACAGAGCGACGCCGCGUGAGUUGUAAAAAUCUUCCGAUCGUAAAACUCUGUUAUUAGGUAAGAACAAAUUUGUAAGGAACUAUACACGUCUUGACGGUACCUAGUCAGAAAGCCACGGCUAACUACGUG
rnacentral:rRNA from 1 species